UGGGCAAGCCAGAAAGUAAAAUCGAGCCAAGUUUUAAAUUAAGAAGUAUUCAGAUUCUGGGGGUAGCGCUUAGAAGGGAACCCACAUUGUAAUCGGCUUUAAGCUUACAAGCCCAAUAAAAUUAACAGCGUGUUUGGUUCGCUAUAAUGGGUAUGUGAUUACCCAUCUAUUCCGCGCGCCUCAUCUAAUCCGGCGUUUGGUUCGCUGUAAUGCCUAUUACGGGCGUAUUAGAUUACCGGCCUAUUCCCCAAAAUCUCUGCUUUCUAUUCCCUUCCCAAAACGACGAUUAGCUAUUACGGACGUCUUCCCAAUUUCUAUGCCCUGUUUUACCCUCCCAGUCUUCUUCAACGAUUAGCUAUUAUGCUGUUUUCAAGGACAAUGAAGGUCAAACCCCAUUGCACUAUGCUGUUAUGUGUGAGAGGGAAGACAUUGCCAAAUUUCUUGUAAAACAAAAUGCAGACAAAGAUACGAAGGAUAGCGAUGGCAACUCUCCAGUCGACCUAUGUGACUCAGAUUGGCCUUGGUUGCAACAUGCGGGCAAAGCGGAAUGACAUGUGCUUUAUUCCCAAGUUUGGUUUCAGUUAAAAAGUACUUGAAAAAAAUUUCUCAUGGAUGUAAAUUUGGCGUUUUGGGCCAACAAUCUAAGGACGUCAACUUUAUCUUCUUUAUUGUAGUUUUUAUCAAAAUUAAGCAUGGUGGCGUUAAUGUUUAA